CCCUUCCUCUCUCCCUCUCCCUCUCUUUCUUUCUUCCUUUCUUUCAUAUUUUAUUUUUAAGUAAUCUGGGGCUAGAACUUACAGCCCCAAGAUCAAGAGUCACAUGCUUCACCAGCUGAGCCAGUCAGGCACCUCUACUGCUUAUUUUUCUGUCUCUCUACACUGAGAUACCAAGAGAGCCCCAGAACAACUAUCACUGAUAGAGAAAUUCCGAGAAGAGAAAAAGAAUAAAAGGACAGAGAGGAGAAUAAAGGAGAUGAGUAAAAGGAAGAGAAACAACAACUUUGAGGGCCUUUAAAAAAUUUUUUUAAAUAAAGAACAAGUUAUAAAGAUUUUUUCUGGGGUGUCUGGCUGGCUUAGUUGGGAGAGCAUGCGACCCUUCAUCUCAGUGUUGUGAGUUCAAGCCUCAUGGUGACUGUACAGAUUACUUAAAGAAAAAAAAGAAGAUUUUGUUUCUACUGAAGAAGUCAGGAAAACUAAGAUGGACACUUCAUUUAAAGACAACUUUUGAGAGAUGAUAUUUGUGACAGGAGAAGGAAAGUGAGAGAAACAAGAGUUUCAGUAUCCUUGUCAGCAAAACAAGGAUAAUGCCAUCUACCUUAGAGUCGUUAUGAGGAUCACAUGAAAAGACAAGCAAAAUGCUUUGUGGAUUAUAAAGCCUGAAUCAACGAUGACCUUUCUCCCUGUUUCUCUACUCACCUCCAAGGUAACUGACCCGAGUGUGUCCGGAGGUGGCCAGUGAGAGCAUCGCGCCGGCGGCAGGCGUAGUUACAGAAGGGACAUUUGAAAGGCUUCUCCCCAGAGUGAAGUUUGAUGUGGCGCAGCAGGUUCCCCUUCUGGGUGAAGGAGGCGCCACACUGGUUGCAGUGGAAGGGCCUUUCACCUGCAAGAGAAAGAACAGAUCUCUGAGGACUGCAUGUGAGGAAUUUUGAAGGCUGAACCUCUUCUGUCACCCUCUGCCCCACCCUGCCUAAGGGACGGUGCUCAGAACAAUUACUGAGAGGCAGAGCUGUGGCACGCACAGGAAAUUCCUGCUUUCUAAAGAUUCUCUUGGGAAGAGCCUUACCCUGGGAAGGUGUGGAUCAGGAUGAAUGGCAGGGCAAAGGGCACCAGGCCUGGAACUCUGGGCCAAAAGAUCAUUAACCCAAAACUGAGCCUUAUAAGACCCACUCUGCCCCUGGAGCCCAAAGGCUGAGAAAGCUGAGAAGAGGCUUUUGUUUUCCUUUU